UACGAAGGGGGCUAGCGUUGUUCGGAUUUACUGGGCGUAAAGCGCGUGUAGGCGGACUUGUAAGUUGGGGGUGAAAUCCCGAGGCUCAACCUCGGAACUGCCUCCAAAACUACAAGUCUGGAGCAAGAUAGAGGCAAGUGGAAUUGCGAGUGUAGAGGUGAAAUUCGUAGAUAUUCGCAGGAACACCAGUGGCGAAGGCGACUUGCUGGAUCUUUGCUGACGCUGAGGCACGAAAGCGUGGGGAGCAAACAGG
rnacentral:rRNA from 1 species